ACAUCUCUAGGGGGGCAGCAGUAGGGAAUCUUCGGCAAUGGGGGGAACCCUGACCGAGCAACGCCGCGUGAGUGAAGAAGGUUUUCGGAUCGUAAAGCUCUGUUGUAAGAGAAGAACGUUAGCGGGAGUGGAAAAUCCGCUAAGUGACGGUACCUUACCAGAAAGGGACGGCUAACUACGUGCCAGCAGCCGCGGUAAUACGUAGGUCCCGAGCGUUGUCCGGAUUUAUUGGGCGUAAAGCGAGCGCAGGCGGUUU
rnacentral:rRNA from 1 species